CAUACGAACCUGUCUAUAAAAGCGAACACUUCGUUAGUUGGAAAAUCAGCAAAGAGUCGAAUAGUUCGAAGGGAUCGACAGAAUUUCCAGACUCUAUCCUUCAAAACUUCCAGACACCAUGGAUUUCUCAGCAGAGCAAGACCGAACUAAGCUCGUCUGAUUCUAGUGUAUAGGAUAACGUAUCAAACGAAUGCGAGUCUACAAGAUAACAGUGCCGUCAUAAUUUCUGACGAUGAAAUUUCCGAGACAUCUGAUCGAAGCCUUUUGAAUCUGAGCUCUACACGUAAGUCAUAACAUAAAAUUUUACAUGGUUUACAUGAAUAAGCAGAAAUGUAAUCAUGCUUUUCUUUCCUAUAGCACAAAUGAAAAUCCCUCUCUAGACGAGCAGAUUUGUCAGAUGAAAC
ensembl:lncRNA